UACGGAGGGUGCAAACGUUGCUCGGAAUCAUUGGGCGUAAAGCGAACGUAGGCGGCUUGAUAAGUCGGGUGUGAAAGCCCUCGGCUCAACCGAGGAAGUGCACUCGAAACUGUCAGGCUUGAAUGUCGGAGAGGAUCGCGGAAUUCCCGGUGUAGAGGUGAAAUUCGUAGAUAUCGGGAGGAACACCAGUGGCGAAGGCGGCGAUCUGGACGAACAUUGACGCUGAAGUUCGAAAGCGUGGGGAGCAAACAGG
rnacentral:rRNA from 1 species